AUAUGUUUCUGUUGGGUGAUGGGAGCUUGGAGCUGUCUUACUCUGCCCUUUUGCUGAUAUCAUUCCUCAAUUAUAUUUUAAAGAGAUUUAAAAAGGAAAAACAGGCAUAUAUAUUUACUCAGGUAGUUACCAUUUUCAAUGCCUGUCAUUCCUUUCAUUCCUUUGUGUAGAUCCAGAUUUCCAUCUGGUAUUUUUCUUCUGCCUGAAAGACAUCCCUUAACAUUUCUUAUAGUGUUUGUUGGUGAUGAAUUCUUUCAGCUUUUUAUUUAUUGUUUGAGAGUCUUGCUCUGUCACCCAGGCUGGAGUGCAAUGACACAAUUAUGGCUCACUGGAGCCUUGACCUUCCAGGCUCAAGCAAACCUCCCAGGCUCAGCCUCCCAAGUAACUGAGACUCCAGGCGUGUGCCACUAUGCUUGGCUAUUUUUGUAUUUUUUUUAGAGACAGGUUCUUACUAUGUUGCCCGGGCUGGUCUCGAACUCUGAGGCUCAAGCGAUCUGCCCACCUCAGCCUUAAAGUGUCUUCCAGCUUUUAUGUGUCUGAAAAUAUCUUUAUUUCACUUCGCUAAAAUAUAUUUUCAUCACACAUAAAAUUCUAGGUUUGCAGUUUUUGCCUUCAGCACUUUAAAGAUCAAGUUGCACUGCUGUCUUCUCACUUGCACUAUUUCUGACAAGAAAUUUGGUAUCAUUCUUAUCUUUGUUCCUGUGUAAAUAACAUGUACUGUUUUCCCAGCUGCCUUCAGGAUUUGAUCUAUAUCAUUGGUUUUGAGCAAUUUGAUUAUGUGACUUGUUACAGUUUUCUUUGUAUUUCUUGUACUUGAUGUUGAGCUUUGGGUCUGUGGGUUUAUAUUUUUCAUUAUGUUUGGAAAAUGUUUGGCCAUUAUUUCUUCUAAUAUUUUUCUAUGUCUCAGCUUUGUAAACAUGUGGGAUAUAGUUAAAAUUAAUGUUAAUGUCUUUCUCUGCUUAUUUUAAUAUGUGUCAGUUUGGGGUUAGUUUGGAUCAAAAUAAGGAUUGAUUGGUUGUUCUUAUUAUGGGCUGUGUUUUCUUGCUUAUUUAUAUGCCUAGUAAUACGAUGUCAGGAUGCCACACAUUGGAAAUUUUACCUUGUUUGAGUAAUGGUGAGCAACAGGCCAUCUCAAAAAAUAAAAAUCAGUAAAUAAAUAAAGAAAAGACUACCUCAUCCAGAAAUGCCUUUAUAGACACACCCAUAAAUAAAUGUUCAACCAAGUAUCUGUGCACCCCAUGGUCCCUUCAAGUUGACACUUGAAAUUACCCAUCACUCCAGCCUUCAGCCGUGGGUUUGUUUCAUAUAUAGAUUUCUAGAACUCCCUCUUUGCAUAGUGCCCUCCUUUCUUUUUUCUGCCCCAUUUCUCUGCCAUUUCAGCCAUCUCAGCCUGAUCUCUGCCUCCUCAGCCCGGUGGGAUCUCCCUACUGUGCUCAGACUCCAGCUCUCUGCACUGCAGUUGGGAAAUUAUCCCCAGGUAGAGGAACUAGGUGACUUUGGGGCUCAUCUCACAAGUUUCCUUACACUUAGGGAUCAGUCUUUUGCUUCCUGUUGUCCUCUGCCUGAAAGUAGUUGCCAAGUUGUACUGUUUUAUAUAUCCACAACAGCAUGCGUUAAACCAAAGUCUGGAUCAGCAGACUGCCAGAUUUUUUUAACAGCUUUAUUAAUCAAUACAUUUUGUCCAUGUCUACAGUUGUUUAUGGUAGGAGGACUAACCUAUAGCUGGAAAGAUUAAUUUUCAGCUGCUUUAUAGUAUUUUAUUAUAUGAAUUAUACCAGUUUGCCCAUCCUUGUGUUGAUAAACAUUACCCAUGAAGUGUGUUCGAAUUGUCUGUGAUACAAAUAAUGCUUCAGUGACUAUCUACCCAGAAUGGGAUUGUGGGUUUAUAGGAUACAUACUUCUUCACCCUUAUUUUUUACUAGAUAUUGCCAAAUUGCUUUCCAAAUUGUGCUGUUUCAUAUAUCCACAACGGCAUGAGUUCUGUUUGUUCCACAUCCAUACCAAGACUUGAUCUUGUUAAAUUAAUUUUUCUAGUGUGUAAAUGAGUGCAAAAUCCUGUUACUUUAGUCUUUACUAGAUUACUAGUGAGGUUAAAUGUAUAUGUGUAUGUAUAUAUAUGCACAUAUGUGUAUAUUAUUAGGUAUUUGUGUUUCCCAUUCAAUAGCUUUUUUGUAUCAAUUGUCCUUUUUAAAAAUUGGGUUAUCUUUUUGUUAUUGAUUCUUUGGAGUUCUUUUUAAAUUCUACUUACUAAUCCCCUUUUGGUUAUAUGUAUUAGAGUUGUUUUUCCCAGUCUUGGCUUGUCUUUUAGAUGCAUAUCUUGUCUUUUCCCAUAUAGAAGUAUUAACUUUUUUUGGGGGGAUGGAGUCUCACUCUGUUGCCCAGGCUGGAGUGCAGUGGUGCGAUCUCGGCUCACUGCAACCUCUGCCUUCUGGGUUCAAGCGAUUCUCCAGCCUCAGCCUCCUGAGUAGUUGGUACUACAGGCACGUGGCACCAGGCAAAUUUUUGUGUUUUUUUUUUUUUUAUCAGAGACUGGGUUCUAUCAUGUUGCCUAGGCUGGUCUCGAACUCCUGAGCUCAAAGCGAUCCGCCCACCUUGGCCUCCAAAUGUGCUAGAUUAUGUGUAAGCCACCAUGCCCGGCCCAGAAGUGCUAACUUUUAAUGUAGUCAUAUUUAUCUAUAUUUUCCUAAAUGAUUUGUGCCCUUUGUGUGUUCAUCUCUUGAACUCUAAACACAGGAGUGCCCCGAGGGCUCAGGCUAUGGACCUCUCUAUUUACAUUAAUUCUCAGUCAUCUUGCUUGGUUUCAGGACAUCUGUACCCUGACGGCUUUUAUGUGUAGCUCCUCCACUUAACUCCAGCCACACACAAUAGUUUAAAGAGCCCCUACUGACCUAGACACUAUGUUUCUUCUUCCCCUGUUACCCAGGUUUCUUGAGUAGGGAGUCUGCAGUCACUGCCUCCAUUUCUUCACCUUCCAGUCACUGUUCAACCCAGGGCAGCCUGGCUUUUGUCCCACUAGUCUACUGAUACUGAGAUUUUUUUCUUAAGCAACACAGCUCCCCCCCAACCCCCCCCCCCUUUUUUUUUCAAGUUAAGUCUUAUGUGAAAUCGCAGUAUAUUAAAUAGAAGCAGAAUUGCUUUGGGACUGGGUUGGGGAGGAUCUGGAACCCAAACUGCACUUUCUUCUCAUCUCUCUGUGUUGCCCCAGAGGCAUCUAUACCUUUCCAACUUUUCUAUCCCCCUAAACACCCUAAUCUCCAGCGAUACUGAACAAUUCCAUCUCUGGACUUCUGCACAGUGCUCCUUCAUCUGCCUUGAACCUGCCAGACCUCUCAGCUCCAGGAGCACUUCCCUGUCUACCUUCCCCUUUAUCAUAACUUUUUUUUUUGAGACGGAGUCUUGCUCUGUCGACAGCCCAGGCUGGAGUGUGCAGUGGCACGAUCUCGGCUCACUGCAACCUCCACCUCCCAGGUUCAAGCAAUUCUCCUGCCUCAGCCUCCCGAGUAGCUGGGACUACAGGCAGGCGCCACCACGCC
rnacentral:lncRNA from 1 species